rnacentral:rRNA from 1 species
GUGGACGCCAGUCUGCGUGGAGCCGUCCUUGAAAUACCACCCUUUAAUGGCUGGUGUUCUAACGUAGACCCGUAAUCCGGGUUGCGGACAGUGUCUGGUGGGUAGUUUGACUGGGGCGGUCUCCUCCCAAAGAGUAACGGAGGAGCACGAAGGUUAGCUAAUCCUGGUCGGACAUCAGGAGGUUAGUGCAAUGGCAUAAGCUAGCUUGACUGCGAGAGUGACGGCUCGAGCAGGUGCGAAAGCAGGUCAUAGUGAUCCGGUGGUUCUGAAUGGAAGGGCCAUCGCUCAACGGAUAAAAGGUACUCCGGGGAUAACAGGCUGAUACCGCCCAAGAGUUCAUAUCGACGGCGGUGUUUGGCACCUCGAUGUCGGCUCAUCACAUCCUGGGGCUGAAGUAGGUCCCAAGGGUAUGGCUGUUCGCCAUUUAAAGUGGUACGCGAGCUGGGUUUAGAACGUCGUGAGACAGUUCGGUCCCUAUCUGCCGUGGGCGCUGGAGAAUUGAGGGGGGCUGCUCCUAGUACGAGAGGACCGGAGUGGACGCAUCACUGGUGUUCGGGUUGUCAUGCCAAUGGCACUGCCCGGUAGCUAAAUGCGGAAAAGAUAAGUGCUGAAAGCAUCUAAGCACGAAACUUGCCCCGAGAUGAGUUCUCCCUGAGACUU